GGUUCGAUGGCGUAGUUGGUUAUCGCAUCUGUCUUACAUGCGGAUGGUUGCAUAUAGGAAGCACAGAAGGUCCUCAGUUCGAGCCUGGGUCGAAUCA